GGGAAGAUAUCUUCAUGCUUACACACGUGGACUUCUAUACAACAAGCCUGCUACUAUUUGCUAAGCAGAUCUAGACCUCAUCCUUAGUACUUUCCCAUUCUGACCAAAGUUAUCUGGAGCGAUCUCAUGCAUUGAGGAAUGCAGACAAAAUAAGGCAUUUGCUUUUAAAGAAAGCAAACAAACCACCAAACCCCUGUAUCUUAAGUCCCUGCUGAUGUAAUUAUAACCACAUAGCAGUGUGGGCACCCUGUGGUUAUUUUGUAUAUCUGUGCUCAAGGAGUUGUGGUCAUUCUGUAUGCAAAUGUGUCUGGGUGAGCUGCUGCUGGUGGAGAGGCGGUGCAGUCCCCCAAAUCAUGUGGUCGCUUUUGGGCUCCCAAUCUCAUCCCCUUUUCCAAGAUGAGGGCUGCUCCUCUUUCAUCUCUUGGAUCCAAAUGCACCAUAAUAAAUAAAAUUCUUCCUGUCUGAAAGAUACAUUAAUUUUGGUGGUCUCAAAAGUAAUGAAAAUAAAUACUUGACUUGGCAUCCCGAGUCCCUGGCUUGACUGAAGACCAGAAUCUGUGUACUUGGAGCUGUUUUUACAAGAAUAUAAGCUGUAGGAAAAACCUUGGCUUCAAGGCCCAGGAGCCUUGUUUGUGAGAUGAGGGAAAGCAAGAAAAGGCAAGAUGUGGGCAGCGAAGUCUAACCUGAAGAGGUCAGAGGUAGAAUUUUCACUGGAAAGAAGAACAGUGCAAAGUGUUACAAGGAAGGGCUAUUCUGGACACAGUCCCUGGCCACCCUUGAUGUGAAUCAGAUUUUGCCAGCCAUAGGCACACUGACUAUUACCAGCACCACCAUCACUACAAAUGGUGAUCUUAGCCAACAGCUUUGGAUGUGUACUUGUCCUCUAUUCAUUUGGCUGGCAGCCUCAACUUUACUUGGAAGUCAAUUUCAAUGGACCUUGAUUUCCAAAUUAUCAGCAUAAUGUGCCAACAAAAGUAAAGCACAUUUCAACUUGAACUUCUAAAUAUAGCUUUUAGAAGUAAAACAACUUAAGAUUACUAGUAUCCAUUACUCAGCAAAUAUGAUUACGAUUGGGCCGAAUGUGUUUGUUUAAGCUUAACACUUGGCUAUUCAUGUGCAACAUCCUAGCCUUUGCCCAUGGGAUUACUCUCCCUCUCCCUCUCCCAUCUCUCAUCCCACCUCAGCUUCCUUGUUAGGUAUAUACUGUAACCAGGUGCAUUGGCAGAAUUGAUAUAUACUAAGGCUAAUUUAAGGAGAUACAUUUAUUUAUUGUUCAGUACAAAGUACCCAGUGCUAAGUCCGGUAACCAUUAUACCUAAAUGUGAUUUUUUAAAUAAAAAAUCAUCCCUCAAUACAUGAUAAUACAAACUAAUCAAUUAAUAGAGCUAUUUAUGUGUUUUCAACAGUGAUAAGCUGCCCUAUAACCCACCCACCCUACUAUCCACCACCACCAAAAAGACCUUAUGGAUACAGUACUAACAAUUUAACAAAAGAACAUUAUUAUUUGGUAUUAAUUGCUCCAGUGAUAACAGCCCCUAAGGAAUUCCAAUCCCUGAUGGUACAAGCCUAGUAAAACACAAGAGAGAGAAGUGAAAGAGUGGAUUUUUUUACUUCCCAAAAGAAAACAGUGGGAGAGAAAUCAAUCUCUACCAGUCCCAGGAUUAACAUAGCUCUUCCUUCAUUCUGCUUGUACCAUCAAGAUAUUUUUGUCAUAGAAACUGAUACCACUAUCUGUUUCAUUUUUACUGAUAUACUCCACCACAGAUUGCUGGGGAAAAACCUAUGGAUCAUGUCAAAUUCCCAUAGCACGUGGAUGUUUCUUUAUAUGAGGGUAAUUUAUCUGCAUAGUGGUGUUUAGGAGGGUUGAUUUCACUUUCACUCACAGAGCAAUGGAGAAAUUCAGAAGGUCCAUGUAAAAUAGAAUAAACUUGUUUUUAAGCAUAAGCAUUUUAAAAAUUGCUAAGCAUUCUCAAGCCCCUAAAUUUGCCUAAGGUAUAUAUGAGACAUGAUUUUUUUUGGUCAUAUGAGUAGUGUUCUGAAUCUUCUAGCCUGCUUUUGCAGAUGGUUCAAAAGUUUCUUAGCUUCUGCUAAGGAUUGGCGGAUGAAAAUGAUAGAAAUUAUGAGCAUGGACAGAUUAACACAAUUAGCAGCAGGUCAAUAAAACGAAAAAAGAAACAGAUUGGGCUUUAUUGACCAAUUUUAUGAAACAAGAAAAAAUCAGAAUACUACUUUAAAACAGGAAGAAAAAUGAAUUUAGGUUCUCCGGGAAUCAUUUAAAAUAUCAGAGGAGGAAAAGAUAUACAAGAAAGACAGCAAUCAUUGACUAUGUAUCACGAUGAGGAGGAUUGGAGGUCAACAUAUUUUCCUCUGUUUACCUGUUUUCCUUUUUUUUUCCCCUUUUCCCCACUAUACCCUUUUCCCCAUCUCUUUUCCCAUAUCUUUCUUUUUUAUUUUACUGAAAAUCUUUAAUAAAAAUUAUUUUAACAAAAGAAUGUUAAUAAACCAAUAGAUAAUAUUGACUGUAUCAGUUACACUAGUAGUGGAUGCAUUUCUGAUGCCAAUUUGAAGAGCUGGUUGUGAUCUAUCAAUUAUCACAAACACCAAUGCAAAACUGUGCAGAUAUUAAGUUCUCUUUACAAAGUCCUUUUUUGAAGAUAUAACAAUUAAGAUGAUUGAAUUUGUGGGGCAUCUGUGGUUGUACCUAAACUAUGGAAUCCCCUAAAUAAAUGCUGGGCUGUGUUUUACUCCAACUUCACAAUCCCUGGAAGUAACUUCUAAAACCUAUUUUGCAUACCUUUUACCUGAAAUAUUAUUGUAACUGAUUUUAAAUGUUGAGUUGUAUUAUUCAUUUGAGUUCUAGUUGCAAUUUGUUAAUAUUUUGUCAAAACUAUUGUCUAUUUUAUAUGGCUGUUAUGUUUCUAUGUUUUAAAUGUUUGGAUUCCUUUGUUUUUAAUGUUUAUGCUGUUUUAGUUGAUAUGUGAAUUUUGUUUCAGGAUGAAGUAUAUAUAUGCAGUCAUCAAUAAGUACUAAUAUUUUUAAAAUAUCAAAUGUGCAUGAAUAAUAGGAUUUAUACUCAACCCAUAGCAGGAUGGCCUUAUAUGAGCACACCGUUUUGAUAAAAACAACAAGGAAUCAUGUGUCAUCCAAAGACUGAGAAGUUUGACUUGGCAUGCUCCACCAAAGGUGCUAUGCUCACUUCCAGCCCAAAAAAGAACAAUGGACUUUAUCCAAGAGAAGUCAAGAAAAGGAGGAAGAAGGAGUGCAAGAGAAGCCGAUUGGUCAGAGCAAACAAAGAGCAAUGUAGCAAAUUUGAGAUCACUCCCCACCACAUAUAUAUCUUUCUUCUGCAUUGAUAUACAUUAAUUCAUCCAUUUCAGUGCCGAUUGCAACUUCCUCUGAAACUUCCAAUAAAAAUACCCUUUCAUAAUUGCUUUCAAAAUAA